UACGUAGGGACCAAGCGUUGUUCGGAUUUACUGGGCGUAACGGGCGCGUAGGCGGCUUAACAAGUCACUUGUGAAAUCUCCGGGCUUAACUCGGAACGGCCAAGUGAAACUGUCAAGCUAGAGUGCAGAAGGGGCAAUCGGAAUUCUUGGUGUAGCGGUGAAAUGCGUAGAUAUCAAGAGGAACACCUGAGGUGAAGACGGGUUGCUGGGCUGACACUGACGCUGAGGCGCGAAAGCGUGGGGAGCAAACAGG
rnacentral:rRNA from 1 species